rnacentral:snRNA from 1 species
GUGCUAGCUUUGGCAGCACAUAUACUAAAAUUGGAACGACACAGAGAAGAUUAGCAUGGCCCCUCCGCAAGGAUGACAUGCAAAUUCGUGAAGCGUUUCAUAUUUUU